UACGGGGGGGGCAAGCGUUUUUCGGAAUUACUGGGCGUCAAGGGCGCGUAGGCGGGUGGACAAGUCUCUCGUGAAAGCCCACGGCUCAACCGUGGAAUUGCGGGAGAUACUGUCUGUCUUGAGUCCGGGAGAGGAGGGUGGAAUUCCCAGUGUAGCGGUGAAAUGCGUAGAUAGUGGGAGGAACACCGGUGGCGAAGGCGGCUCUCUGGACCGGUACUGACGCUGAGGCGCGAAAGCUAGGGGAGCAAACGGG
rnacentral:rRNA from 1 species